rnacentral:rRNA from 1 species
GACGAACGCUGGCCGCGUGCUUAACACAUGCAAGUCGAACGGAAAGGCUCCAGCUUGCUGGAGUACUCGAGUGGCGAAGGGGUGAGUAACACGCGGGUAAUCUGCCCUGCACUCUGGGAUAAGCCUGCGAAACUGGGUCUAAUACUGGAUAUGACCUUUCUCCUAAUGGGGUUUGGUGGAAAGUUUUUCGGUGUCGGAUGAGCCCGCGGCAUAUCAGCUUGUUGGUGGGGUGAUGGCCUACCAAGGCGACGACGGGUAGCCGGCCUGAGAGGGUGAUCGGCCACAUUGGGACUGAGAUACGGCCCAGACUGCUACGGGCGGCAGCAGUGGGGAAUAUUGCACAAUGGGCGGAAGCCUGAUGCAGCGACGCCGCGUGAGGGAUGACGGCCUUCGGGUUGUAAACCUCUUUCAGCAGGGACGAAGCGUAAGUGACGGUACCUGCAGAAGAAGCACCGGCUAACUACGUG